rnacentral:tRNA from 11 species
GGGGCUAUAGCUCAGCUGGGAGAGCGCCUGCCUUGCACGCAGGAGGUCAACGGUUCGAUCCCGUUUAGCUCCACCA